AAAUUCACAGGCUGGUCCUUGUUAUUUCCGCCUCGUUGAAGCUCAUCCCAUGUUCACCUUAAUUUCUGUAUCGCUUUCUCUCCAGCUGCUGUCAUAAUUCCUUUUGGGCAAAGAGCAGAGAAACAUAUAACUGAUACCAUAUUCGGGUUUCUUUAUUUUGUGAUGAGCAGCGCAAUUAGCUUCCCGGUUCUUAAUCUGUAGUGAGAUGAAGAGAGAAGAUAAAGAAGAAAAUUGGCAGAUGGAGCAUUACAUGAACUGGGCACAAGCUAUAGCCACAGCUUGGUGUUUCAUGCUAUUGGUAGGUCUCAUAUGUUGCUGUCUCAGCACUAAACCUCGCCAACACGGUGAUAUCAACAGCGGCACCUGUAGCUGCUCUUGUGACGGUGGCUAUGCAGUCUGAUCAUUAAUCCUUAUCAUUUCUUCUUCCACUCAAAGUUCAGUUUCUCUUUUUCUUUCUGCACAUAUACUGCUUAAUUAAGCUAUAUUUGUUUGUACAUAUACAGAACAAGAGCUUUUUGAGAGGUAUUUAAGUUAUUUGCUUUUAUUCUUUCAUUAUUUUGUUCUUUUUUGUGUAAUUUAACUGAUUCAUUCAAGAAGCUCAAUGUAUCGUUUUGGAUUUGUUUCGGAAAUGAUAUUGAAGAAUUGAGG
rnacentral:misc_RNA from 1 species